CCUUGUGAGUAAGUUGAAUCUC
rnacentral:miRNA from 1 species